AUUGAACGCUGGCGGCAGGCCUAACACAUGCAAGUCGAGCGGAUGAAGGGAGCUUGCUCCUGGAUUCAGCGGCGGACGGGUGAGUAAUGCCUAGGAAUCUGCCUGGUAGUGGGGGAUAACGUCCGGAAACGGGCGCUAAUACCGCAUACGUCCUGAGGGAGAAAGUGGGGGAUCUUCGGACCUCACGCUAUCAGAUGAGCCUAGGUCGGAUUAGCUAGUUGGUGGGGUAAAGGCCUACCAAGGCGACGAUCCGUAACUGGUCUGAGAGGAUGAUCAGUCACACUGGAACUGAGACACGGUCCAGACUCCUACGGGAGGCAGCAGUGGGGAAUAUUGGACAAAGGGCGAAAGCCUGAUCCAGCCAUGCCGCGUGUGUGAAGAAGGUCUUCGGAUUGUAAAGCACUUUAAGUUGGGGGGAAGGGCAGUAAGUUAAUACCUUGCUGUUUUGACGUUACCAACAGAAUAAGCUCCGGCUAACUUCGUG
rnacentral:rRNA from 1 species